rnacentral:rRNA from 1 species
AGAGCGAACGCUGGCGGCAGGCUUAACACAUGCAAGUCGAACGAACCCUUCGGGGUUAGUGGCGGACGGGUGAGUAACACGUGGGAACGUGCCCUUAGGUUCGGAACAACACAGGGAAACUUGUGCUAAUACCGGAUGUGCCCUUACGGGGAAAGAUUUAUCGCCUUUGGAGCGGCCCGCGUCUGAUUAGCUUGUUGGUGAGGUAAAGGCUCACCAAGGCUACGAUCAGUAGCUGGU